rfam:Oryza sativa (indica cultivar-group) chromosome 3, whole genome shotgun sequence.
UAUAAGUGCACUUGUGGUUUUCCGUGUCCAACGUUUAACCAUCCGUUUUAUUUGAAAAAAAAUAUAAUUAGUAUUUUUAUCGUUAUUAGAUAAUAAAACAUAAAUUAUUUUUAAUUUUUUUCAUAAAAUUUUUAAAUAAGACGAACAGUCAAAAAUUAAACACAAAAAUCUAUAACUGCAUUUAUA